GAUGAACGCUAGCGGCAGGCUUAACACAUGCAAGUCGAGGGGUAUUGGUUUUCGGACCAAGAGACCGGCGCACGGGUGCGUAACGCGUAUGCAAUCUACCUUUUGCAGAGGGAUAGCCCCAGAGAAAUUUGGAUUAAUACCUCAUAGUAUAGUACUUUGGCAUCAAGGAACUAUUAAAGUCACAACGGCAAAGAUGAGCAUGCGUCCAUUAGCUAGUUGGUAAGGUAACGGCUUACCAAGGCUACGAUGGGUAGGGGUCCUGAGAGGGAGAUCCCCCACACUGGUACUGAGACACGGACCAGACUCCUACGGGAGGCAGCAGUGAGGAAUAUUGGACAAUGGGCGCAAGCCUGAUCCAGCCAUGCCGCGUGCAGGAUGACGGUCCUAUGGAUUGUAAACUGCUUUUGUACAGGAAGAAACCCUUUCACGUGUGGAAGAUUGACGGUACUGUAUGAAUAAGGACCGGCUAACUCCGUGCCAGCAGCCGCGGUAA
rnacentral:rRNA from 1 species